UGGGGAAUAUUGGACAAUGGGCGCAAGCCUGAUCCAGCCAUGCCGCGUGAGUGAUGAAGGCCCUAGGGUUGUAAAGCUCUUUCACCGGUGAAGAUAAUGACGGUAACCGGAGAAGAAGCCCCGGCUAACUUCGUGCCAGCAGCCGCGGUAAUACGAAGGGGGCUAGCGUUGUUCGGAGUUACUGGGCGUAAAGCGCACGUAGGCGGACUUUUAAGUCAGGGGUGAAAUCCCGGGGCUCAACCCCGGAACUGCCUUUGAUACUGGAAGUCUUGAGUAUGGUAGAGGUGAGUGGAAUUCCGGGUGUAGAGGUGAAAUUCGUAGAUAUUCGGAGGAACACCAGUGGCGAAGGCGGCUCACUGGACCAUUACUGACGCUGAGGUGCGAAAGCGUGGGGAGCAAACAGG
rnacentral:rRNA from 1 species